rnacentral:rRNA from 1 species
CAAUAGCGUAUAUUAAAGUUGUUGCAGUUAAAAAGCUCGUAGUUGGAUUUCUGGUACAACGCGCCUGGCCCGCUUUAUGUGAGUGCCGGUGCGCGUUUGCCAUCCUUCUAGAAAACGUUUCUACCUGGGCAACCGGGCCGGACUCGCGAUCUAGAUCUUUUACUUUGAAAAAUUAGAGUGUUUAAAGCAGGCUUUUGCUGUGAAUACAUUAGCAUGGAAUAAUAAUCUAGGACUUCGGUUCUAUUUUGUUUGGUUUCUUAGAUCUGAAGUAAUGAUUGAUAGGGAUAGUUGGGGGUGGCUAGUAUUAAGGGGCCGAGAGGUGAAAUUACUUGGAUUCUCUUAAGACUAACUUAUGCGAAAGCAUUCACCAAGGAUGUCUUCUUUAAUUCAAGAACGAAAGUUAGGGGGGAGUCGAAGACGAUCAGAUACCAU